rnacentral:rRNA from 1 species
AUACGUAGGGGGCGAGCGUUGUCCGGAAUGAUUGGGCGUAAAGGGCGCGUAGGCGGCGCGGUAAGUCUGGAGUGAAAGUCCUGCUUUCAAGGUGGGAAUUGCUUUGGAUACUGCCGCGCUUGAGUGCAGGAGAGGUUAUCGGAAUUCCCGGUGUAGCGGUGAAAUGCGUAGAGAUCGGGAGGAACACCAGUGGCGAAGGCGGGUAACUGGACUGCAACUGACGCUGAGGCGCGAAAGUGUGGGGAGCAAACAGGAUUAGAUACCCUGGUAGUCCACACUGUAAACGAUGAAUGCUAGGUGUAAGAGGUAUCGACCCCUUUUGUGCCGGAGUCAACACAAUAAGCAUUCCGCCUGUGGAGUACGGCCGCAAGGUUGAAACUCAAAGGAAUUGACGGGG